rnacentral:sRNA from 1 species
UAUUAAGGAUGAACGGCUUAAGCGCGCCGUCCUGGCGCAGCCGUCCUGGCGCACCGCCGUUCUGACCAACAUCCUGUUGG